rnacentral:misc_RNA from 1 species
GCAACCGUGAGCACGAACGGCAGAGUUUUCCCUACUCGAUCUCAUACAGGCGGAAAAAAGCGAACGCAAUGGACAUCGCAAGAAGAAGUAGAUAGAAAAGAACGCGCCGCGCCCAAUCCAAUCAAAAUUCGUUGCUCCGCGUUUUGAGAAACAUUAAAACUUGAGAUAAACGAACCACAAAGGAUGGAAUUGAAUGCAGACCAAGUGUGAAUUAGGUGGAAAAAGAAUUUGGCGACGAGUCGAUAGUGGUUUGGUGUAGUUUGUGUACGGACGGGGAACAAGGCGACUUUCCUUUCGUGCGAGAUCCGACUAGUCCUCGCGCGCGCCUGUGAAAACCCCUGACAGUGUGUGCGUGUCGUGUUGACGCAGAUGUGCAAUUUGUCCUUUCAAAAUAGUUUUGUGAUCCCGAGGAACGUGCAAGUUUCAGACCAAGUCCGGAGUGCGUCUCGCCCGCCGCUGUGGCCCAUUUGGAAUUAACAGAAGGAACUCAACGAUAGAAGCCAACCCGCAUCGCAUUUCGUCACUUUUAGCGACAGACAAUACGCUAAUAACGUUUUGCUCUAAAAAGCAUAUUAAGUGGAAUAAAUCAUCAUCAGAAAGAUUACACAUUAGAAUCGACAUCAUGUUGCGGCAAUCAUUACUUCUGGUUGUCGUCACGUUGACGGCAACAUUCAUAAAUGCUCACAAUUCACCACCUCACAUCACGAAACAACCGCCAACAGAUGAAAUGCUUUUCAAAGUUGCCCAGCUUACAAAAGAAAGUGAUAGUCCAUUUACGAUCGAAUGUGAAGCAGAAGGUCAACCAGAUCCAUCAUAUCGAUGGAUCAAAAACGGCAAACGUUUCGAUUGGCAAGCGUAUGACAAUCGUAUGUCUCAGCAGCCUGGACGAGGUACGCUGCUCAUUUCAUACCCAAAAGAUGAAGACAUGGGACAAUAUCAGUGCUUUGCUGAGAACGAAUUCGGUAUAGCCACUUCAAAUUCAGUGUUCGUUAGGAAAGCCGAAUUGAAUAACUUUAAAGACGAAGCUACGCGAACAGUGGAAGCAAAUGAAGGAGAACCCUUCCAAUUGCAAUGUCAACCGCCGGAUGGUUGGCCCAAACCAAAUGUUCACUGGUUAAUCCAAAGCAUCGACGGUAGCAUUAAAAGUAUAAACAACUCACGUAUGACUUUAGAUCCAGAAGGCAAUUUAUGGUUUUCGAAUGUUACAAGAAACGAUCAAUCAGAAGAUUUUUACUACGCAUGUGCCGCAACAUCUGUAUUCCGAAAUGAGUAUAAAUUGGGCAAUCGUGUCUUGCUAAACGUUGUUCAAACAGGCAUCAGUGCAGCUCAAAACAAAUACCAACCAGUUAAACAAUAUGUUACCAGAAAGAAUGAAGUCGCUCUUAGAGGAAAACGAGUGGAAAUGUAUUGCAUAUACGGAGGAACCCCGUUACCACAAACGGUCUGGAGUAAAGACGGUCAGCCAAUACCUUGGAGCGAUCGAAUCACACAAGGAAACUACGGAAAAAGUUUGGUAAUUCGACACGCUAUCUUUGAAGAUGCUGGUGCCUACACUUGUGAUGUCUCUAACGGUGUUGGAAAUGCUCAAUCUUAUUCGAUAAACCUGAAAAUUUUGGCAACACCUUACUUCACAGUCGAACCAGAAAUUCAGAAUGCAGCUGAGGACGAAAGUAUAGAAUUUAGAUGUGAAGCAUCUGGUGUUCCGGAGCCAACAAUUAAAUGGAUUUUCAAUGGAAAGCCAAUUUCAGAGGCGCCACACAACCCAAGAAGAACUGUUCACACGAACAGCAUCGUUAUCAAAGACCUAUUGAAGACAGAUACUGGCAAUUAUGGCUGUAACGCAACCAACUCUCUUGGAUAUGUCUACAAAGAUGUAUAUUUGAACGUGUUGGCGCUACCACCAGAAAUUCGUGAAGCUCCACGCAGAGAGUCCACUGUCGAUCGACGAAACGUUACACUAACAUGCCGCGUGUUCGGUGCUCCAAAACCAGAAGUUAAAUGGAUUCGUAAUGGGCUAGAAUUAACUGGCGGCCGAUAUAAAACUCUUGAAUCGGGUGACUUGCAGAUCAUAAAUGUAGGAUAUGCGGACGCAGGCGAGUAUACUUGCUAUGCUUUCAACAAGUUCGGAACAAUUGACGCGAAUGGUACGCUGGUAGUGAAAGAGCAUACAAGGAUUACAGAUGGACCGCAGGACUACGAAGUGACGGCUGGAAAUUCGGCUACAUUCCGUUGUAACGCUGUUGCUGAUUCAUCUUUGGAAUUGAAAAUUGAAUGGUGGAAAGACGGCCAACCAAUCGAAUUUGAUAAGGAAGCCCGUUUCGUUCAAACUAAUGACAACUCUUUGACUAUCACUAAAACUAUGGAACUUGAUUCAGGUGACUACACAUGCGUGGCUAAAACAGAGCUUGACGAAACGCAAAUGCAAGCUCAUCUUAUAGUCCAAGAUGUUCCGAAUGCGCCAGCCUUGAAAUCUGUUGAGUGCAAUACUGACUAUGCUGUGAUUACUUGGGAACCUAAAGGUGACAACAGAUCUCCAAUUCUCCAUUAUACUCUCCAAUACAAUACCUCUUUCACACCCGAUACCUGGGAAAAUGCUUUUGAGAAGGUACCCGCAACGGAUUCUACGUUUCAAAUACCCAUGGGUCCUUGGGCCAAUUAUACAUUCCGUGUUAUUGCAUACAAUAAAAUUGGACCCUCUCCACCAUCGAAACAUGGCUCUGUAUGUACUACAGCUCCUGAUGUUCCAUACAAAAAUCCAGAUAACGUAGAAGGAAAAGGCACAGAACCAAACAAUUUAGUAAUCUCAUGGACUCCAAUGCCAGAAAUUGAACAUAAUGCCCCGAACUUUGAAUACCGUGUUUCAUGGAAACGCGAUAUUCCUGGAGCAAAUUGGGAAAAUCAAGACAUUUAUGACUGGAAACAAUCGAGUUUACUUAUUCCGGAUCAACCGACAUUUUCGCGAUAUGUAAUAAAGGUCCUGGCUAUUAAUGAAAUGGGAGAAUCAAAUGUGCCACCCAAGGAAGUUUUCGGUUAUUCUGGAGAAGAUGUGCCAACGGACGCCCCAACUAACUUCUCUAUGAUACAAGUUACAAGUAGUACUUCGGCUGUUUUAAGUUGGAAUCCAGUUUCGAAUACGAGCUUGCGUGGCCACUUUAAGGGUUACAAAAUUGAAACAUGGACUGAAGAAGAAGGCGAAGAUCAUUUCCACGAAGUUCAUGUUCGCCCCGAUUCAACCCAAGCUUUGGUGACAACAUUCAAACCUAACUCUAAAAAUUAUGCCCGCAUACUUGCCUACAACAGUCGCUUUAGUGGACCGCCAAGUGCCACAAUUGAUUUCGAUACACCAGAAGGUGUUCCAUCAGCUGUUCAAUCGUUCGAAGCAUAUCCGUUGGGGUCUUCAGCCUUCCUCCUGACUUGGAAGAAACCCUUGCAGCCAAAUGGAAAACUAACAGGAUACAAAAUUUAUCAUCAAGAAGUGAAGGGAACCUAUCUCGAACCGAAAAUCGAAAGAGAACCUCAUAUUGCUGAUCCAAGGGUGACGCGAGCCAAACUUGCUGGAUUAAAACCAGAUACUAAAUACCGAGUUCACAUCACUGCCACAACCAAGAUGGGAGAGGGCCGGGAAUACUUUAUCGAACAAAAGACUUUAUCAAGCCUUGCUGUACCUCCUGAUACACCCACAUUCACCUGGGAGCAAAUACCUUCGGACAAUGGAUAUGCAGCUAUUAAAGUAAACUGGCAUCCAAAUCUCGAAGGCAAGCCAGGAUCUCACUUCUUUACUAAGUACCGAAUGAAGGAUGAAACCAACUGGCUAGAAUCUAAGCCUGAGAAAAAUGAAGAUUUCCAGAUCAUUAAGGGAUUGGACCCCGACUCCGUUUAUGAAUUCCGAGUAGUAUCGGCCGAUGGAGACUACACAACGGAAAGUUCCACACAAGAAAUUGACACAAAUGGUGUCGAAGGACCAAUAAAAAUCCGAAAUGAGAACGUUGCAACUGCUGGAUGGUUCAUUGGAAUGAUGCUGGCCAUUGCAUUCCUGUUGCUUCUAUUAAUAAUAAUCUGUAUUAUUAAGCGGAAUCGUGGUGGAAAGUAUGAUGUUCACGAUAGAGAAUUAGCAAAUGGACGACGUGAUUAUCCAGAUGAAGGUGGCUUCCAUGAAUAUUCGCAACCUGUUGGUCGACAGUCGGUUGCAUCAAAUCCAAUCAAACCCGGACCUGAGAGCGAUACAGAUUCAAUGGCAGAAUAUGGUGAAGGAGAUACAGAAGGCAUGAACGAAGACGGUUCAUUUAUUGGACAAUAUGGACGAAAAGGACUUUGAUUCCUAAUUUAAGUUUUUAUACGCAAUUUUUUCACAUAAAAAACCGAUAUUUUCAACAAUAUUUACUACGCACAUACACUUAGAUGGAAGUUUAUUUUUGAACGAGAGCGCAGCUUUCAGUUUCUUUAUUUUUAUUUCGAGGACAAUUCACCGAAGAUGGUUCGUUCAUAGGCCAAUAUGUGCCUGGUAAACUACAACCGCCAGUAAGUCCACAACCAGUUGCACAUAACCAACCAAUACCACAAACUUCAUCUCAAGGCACUAACGCCGU